CCCAUAAACAAAAUGCACUCUUCCUCCUCCUCUCCCCUGUCCCCGCCUUUAUAUGCUUCUUUCCUCAUCUCUACCACCUUCGAUUGGGCUAGAAGAGGCCCAAUCCGCUAUCUCAAACAUCCAUUGGGGCACGGAAACUUCGCUCAGAGAAUCCUUAAUAGGCGAUUGGUCGACAUUCUUCCCACACCCCCUACCUCUGCCGCACCUUCGCCCACUCUGGAGAGGUCAGUCGUAUCUCGUUGUUCAGUGAUCCGAGAGGUGGAAAACUAUUGGUUCAGAGAGCGCGUCAGACCGGAUUGGAGUGAGCCAUGAUUGGUCAGCACCGACACGAUCAUGCUGAUGGAAAAUGCAUUGGAGUCUAAUCCAGAAUCACAGCCAGAAAUCUAGAGUCACAAGAAUUCACAAGUCCAUGAAUUUCACCAAGAUCCUUUUUUAUGCCCCUCCUCAAAUUCAAUGAAAGAAUUGAAUGUGGGAAGACAUGGCUUUGUAAGGCAUUACUAGGACCUUGGCGGACUUAAAGUCAUGGAACUGAAUUGUAUUAAUGGUAUCAAACUCUUAUCACUAAGGUAUCACCUAGUGAAUUGUUCAGCUAUCACUGAAUUGAAAAGGAGCCGAACAAAAGAGCAUGCUCCAGGGCUGAUGACACUGUUUUGGGAUUGCUAAAUGAGUACAGCACUUCAGUAUUCUAGCAGAGUAUACGGCUUGGUGCAGGGAAAGGGGAUGUGCAGUGAAUAUUUCUUGGAUAAACAAUAUAAAAAUCC